GGGCACACUUCACAGCUCUGUGAACAGAUGGCCAGUGAGCAACAGGCAGCAUAUGUUCCCGGUUGCCCCGGUUGCUGUCCUUGUUGCUGAGACUGGAAGGCAGAGUCCGGGCAUUGAUCCUGUUUCCACACGCUUCUGGAAGAAACAAACAUCUUGGAUUAGGUAAGUCUACCUGGGCCCCAGCACUUUAAGUGACAGGAAGAGAGAAGCAGCCAGC